rnacentral:rRNA from 2 species
UACGUAGGGAGCGAGCGUUGUCCGAAUUUACUGGGCGUAAAGCGCACGUAGGCGGACUAUUAAGUUGGUGGUGAAAUGCCGAGGCUCAACCUCGGAACUGCCUCCAAAACUGUUAGUCUUGAGGUAUGGAGAGGGAACUGGAAUUCCAGGUGUAGCGGUGAAAUGCGUAGAUAUCUGGAGGAACACCCAUGGCGAAGGCAGGUUCCUGGCCAUAUCCUGACGCUGAGGUGCGAAAGCUAGGGGAGCGAACGGG